rnacentral:snRNA from 1 species
GCGCUUGGUUGAAAAGCCAGU